ensembl:lncRNA
GACUCGGCUUAAUCUGGAUUCUGGAAACCGGCACUACAAAUCCAACCUGCUCCUCCUCCUAGUCAUCCCAAUCACAGGAUGUGACCUCACACUUUUACCCACAAUCCCCCUGGACGGCAUCGAGCAGAUACGGUGCAUCAGACGACCGCGGCGUUCGACUUUAUAGCUCCCUGCCCAUGCGCCCCAACCCCAACGGGAAGAGACUGCCCUCUGCUGGGUUUGAUGGUGACAACAUGUACAUGAAUGAAAAUAACCAGGAGUUUCUCUCCCCAAAUCAGGUGAGUCCAACAUUUUGUUUUUUGUUGAUGGAACACCUGCUUCCUUGACUAGAACAAGCCCAGACAUUCCUAUAAUUUGAUAAGGUCUCACGGUGGACUGUAAACAAAGCUGAUGUCCUACAUUCAGGGUAGUGGAAUCCUAGCACCAAGGUCCAGAUUACUGCUGUUUGUUGUUCCAUAGCUGGAAGUGAAUUCAUUUAUGCAUGUCAUUGAUUGGCCAGAGAUUCCACUCACAUUCGGUGGUAUUCAGACUUGAGAUCAUAACACUUAACUUACAUUUUCACGUUGUCUCCCAAUGACAUGAAAUAAGGAUUAAGUCUGAGUUGCAUCUCAACUCUGAAUUGGCCAGAAUUGGCCUCUGAUUAGAGGGGAAGAAUGAAAACAUAACCAGUAGUGCUGUUGACCCUGAGUACUGGAUUUGAGAAAGGGGGCUCAACAAAAUGAGUUCCAAUGAGAGUCAUGAGAAAAUAGGACUGAAUGCAUGAAGGUGUGUAUUGUAGUACAGUGCAGUGCAUUGUACCAC